UUACUUUGAUGUUCAGACAGGACCAAGGAUUGGAAGUGAUAUUAGAAGGUUUGGAUACAUUGAAAAACAUGGCCCAUGAUUUGAAUGAGGAAAUGGAUAGGCAAGUUCCUUUAAUGGACGGAUUGACACUAAGGACCAAGGAUUGGAAGUGAUAUCAGAAGAUUUGGAUAAAUUGAAAAACAUGGCCCAUGAUUUGAAUGAGGAAAUGGAUAGGCAAGUUCCUUUAAUGGACGGAUUGACACUAAGG